CGAUUCUUGCUCCCAAAGCAUCGAUUCCUUCUCCCAGGGCAACGAUUUCUUCUCUCCCAAUGCAGCAAUUCAUGUUCUUGAAACCAUCAAGGUGAGUUCUCUAUUAAUCUCUACUUCUCUGUUGGGUUCUUUUCCCACUCUCAAAGGCCGACGCCGAUGCUUCUAAGACCUACCCUCAGUAAGCUGGCACUAUCCGUAAGGGAGGUCACAUCGUCAUAAAAAACCGUGAUUGCAAGGGUUUCGGACCAAAAAGAUUGUGGACGAGACGCAACCAAGUUUCUCAUCGUUUGUGAAUUUCAAACGAUAAUGCAUUUAUAAGUUCAGAUCGGUUUGGCGUGAUUCGGAGCGGUUCCCUCGGCGUCUAUUUUGUUCAUAAGAAAGUCAACAAAUGCGAUUUCUCCGAAAGGAGAAGGAACAAAGAAACCGAUUAGGUUAAGAUAUGUUGAGAAAGAGUUGGCUAAGAAAAAGGGGAAGAACGUUGAUGAGGCAAAUCAAGUUGAGAAUUAUUUUUAUGUUUUUCUUUUUUAGAGGAUGGGCAAGGAGUUCCAAUAGCAGUAAGGCACAUAGAAUCAAUGAUAAGAUGUCAGAAGCUCAUGCUAGAAUGCACCUAAGGCAGCAUGUGACUCAGGAAGAUGUGGACAUGGCAAUUUGUGUGUUGCUUAACUCCUUUAUUUCUACUUAGAAGUUUGGAGUGCAAGGCCCUACAGAAGAGUUUCAAAAAGUACAUGACAUUCAAGAAGGAUUUCAAUGCAAUUUUAUUGCAUCUACUGAAUCAACUUGUGAAGGAGGCGCUACACUUUGAAGAGAUCGUAUCUGGGUCUAGGACAGAUGUUACUCUUAUUGGCGUGAAGGUGGAGGAAUGCAAAUCAAAGCGUUGGAUUAUGGAAUCACGGAUUUGAAGGCGUUCUUUAGCAGCGUGGAAUUUGGUCCAGGGAACUUUGAAUUGGACGAAGAGUGGAGCGUGAUAAGGCAUCACCUUGUAAGAUGAUGAGUUGAGGAGGAACUUGUUAACUUUAGACAUUAGACUGACUGUCCCAAGGAAGAAACAACUUGCCCAAUUGAAAAGUUUGAACUUUCCAUCCAAAGUUUCCUUUUCAAAGGUGUCUUUUAUGUUGCAUUGCAUCAAUUGGAUUGUAAUCUAAAUCUGACACUGUUUCUUACAUUCAUUUAUUUAAGGAAGUAAAAGACUAUUAUUGG